rnacentral:rRNA from 1 species
CCUACGGGGGGCUGCAGUGGGGAAUAUUGGACAAUGGGGGCAACCCUGAUCCAGCCAUGCCGCGUGUGUGAAGAAGGCCCUCGGGUUGUAAAGCACUUUCAGUGAGGAAGAACGCCUGGUGGUUAAUACCCGUCAGGAAAGACAUCACUCACAGAAGAAGCACCGGCUAACUCCGUGCCAGCAGCCGCGGUAAUACGGAGGGUGCGAGCGUUAAUCGGAAUUACUGGGCGUAAAGCGCGCGUAGGUGGCUUGAUAAGCCGGUUGUGAAAGCCCCGGGCUCAACCUGGGAACGGCAUCCGGAACUGUCAAGCUAGAGUGCAGGAGAGGAAGGUAGAAUUCCCGGUGUAGCGGUGAAAUGCGUAGAGAUCGGGAGGAAUACCAGUGGCGAAGGCGGCCUUCUGGACUGACACUGACACUGAGGUGCGAAAGCGUGGGUAGCAAACAGGAUUAGAUACCCGGGUAGUC